rnacentral:rRNA from 1 species
GAGUUUGAUCCUGGCUCAGGACGAACGCUGGCGGCGUGCCUAAUACAUGCAAGUGGAACGCAUGAUUGAUACCGGAGCUUGCUCCACCAUUAAUCAUGAGUCGCGAACGGGUGAGUAACGCGUAGGUAACCUACCUCAUAGCGGGGGAUAACUAUUGGAAACGAUAGCUAAUACCGCAUAACAGUAUUUAUCGCAUGGUAAAUGCUUGAAAGGAGCAACUGCUUCACUAUGAGAUGGACCUGCGUUGUAUUAGCUAGUUGGUGGGGUAACGGCUCACCAAGGCAUCGAUACAUAGCCGACCUGAGAGGGUGAUCGGCCACACUGGGACUGAGACACGGCCCAGACUCCUACGGGAGGCAGCAGUAGGGAAUCUUCGGCAAUGGGGGGAACCCUGACCGAGCAACGCCGCGUGAGUGAAGAAGGUUUUCGGAUCGUAAUGCUCUGUUGUAAGAGAAGAACGUGUGUGAGAGUGGAAAGUUCACACAGUGACGGUAACUUACCAGAAAGGGACGGCUAACUACGUGCCAGCAGCCGCGGUAAUACGUAGGUCCCGAGCGUUGUCCGGAUUUAUUGGGCGUAAAGCGAGCGCAGGCGGUUUGAUAAGUCUGAAGUAAAAGGCUGUGGCUUAACCAUAGUAUGCUUUGGAAACUGUCAAACUUGAGUGCAGAAGGGGAGAGUGGAAUUCCAUGUGUAGCGGUGAAAUGCGUAGAUAUAUGGAGGAACACCGGUGGCGAAAGCGGCUCUCUGGUCUGUAACUGACGCUGAGGCUCGAAAGCGUGGGGGAGCAAACAGGAUUAGAUACCCUGGUAGUCCACGCCGUAAACGAUGAGUGCUAGGUGUUGGGUCCUUUCCGGGACUCAGUGCCGUAGCUACGCAUUAAGCACUCCGCCUGGGGAGUACGACCGCAAGGUUGAAACUUCAAAGG